rnacentral:rRNA from 1 species
UACGUAGGGUGCGAGCGUUGCCCGGAUUUAUUGGGCGUAAAGAGCGUGUAGGCGGCCCGAUUAGUCCGCUGUGAAAGUCCAGGGCUCAACCCUGGAAUGCCGGUGGAUACUGUCGGGCUAGAGUCCGGAAGGGGCGAGUGGAAUUCCUGGUGUAGCGGUGAAAUGCGCAGAUAUCAGGAGGAACACCAAUGGCGAAGGCAGCUCGCUGGGACGUGACUGACGCUGAGACGCGAAAGCGUGGGGAGCAAACAGG